ACGGAGGAUGCAAGCGUUAUCCGGAUUCAUUGGGUUUAAAGGGUGCGCAGGCGGAAUGAUAAGUCAGUGGUGAAAUCCUACGGCUCAACUGUAGAACUGCCAUUGAUACUGUUAUUCUUGAGUACACUUGAAGUGGGCGGAAUGUGUCAUGUAGCGAUGAAAUGAUUGAAUAGGACGCGGAACCCCGGAGGCGAAGGCGUCUCAUCAGAUUAUAACUGAUAGUCAUGCACGAAAGCUUGGGGAUCAAACCU
rnacentral:rRNA from 1 species